UGGGGAAUAUUGCACAAUGGAGGGAACUCUGAUGCAGCGACGCCGCGUGAACGAAGAAGGCUUUCGAGUCGUAAAGUUCUUUUAUAUGGGAAGAUAAUGACGGUACCAUAAGAAGAAGCCCCGGCUAACUACGUGCCAGCAGCCGCGGUAAUACGUAGGGGGCUAGCGUUGUCCGGAAUCACUGGGCGUAAAGGGUUCGCAGGCGGAAAUGCAAGUCAGGUGUAAAAGGCAGUAGCUUAACUACUGUAAGCAUUUGAAACUGCAUAUCUUGAGAAGAGUAGAGGUAAGUGGAAUUUUUAGUGUAGCGGUGAAAUGCGUAGAUAUUAAAAAGAAUACCGGUGGCGAAGGCGACUUACAGGGCUCAUUCUGACGCUGAGGAACGAAAGCGUGGGUAGCAAACAGG
rnacentral:rRNA from 1 species